CAGGAUGUAGCUUAGCCCGGCUAAAGCGCACGCCUCGGGCGCGUGAGACCGCAGGUUCAAAUCCUGCCAUCCUGA
rnacentral:tRNA from 1 species